UACGUAGGGUGCGAGCGUUGUCCGGAAUUACUGGGCGUAAAGAGCUCGUAGGUGGUUUGUCGCGUUGUUCGUGAAAACUCACAACUCAAUUGUGGGCGUGCGGGCGAUACGGGCAGACUGGAGUACUGCAGGGGAGACUGGAAUUGCUGGUGUAGCGGUGGAAUGCGCAGAUAUCAGGAGGAACACCGGUGGCGAAGGCGGGUCUCUGGGCAGUAACUGACGCUGAGGAGCGAAAGCGUGGGGAGCGAACAGG
rnacentral:rRNA from 1 species